CUACGGGUCGCAGCAGUGGGGAAUAUUGCACAAUGGGGGAAACCCUGAUGCAGCAACGCCGCGUGGAGGAUGACACAUUUCGGUGCGUAAACUCCUUUUAUAGGUCAAGAUAAUGACGGUAGCCUAUGAAUAAGCGCCGGCUAACUCCGUGCCAGCAGCCGCGGUAAUACGGAGGGCGCAAGCGUUACUCGGAAUCACUGGGCGUAAAGAGCAUGUAGGCGGGUUAAUAAGUCAGAAGUGAAAUCCAAUAGCUUAAUUAUUGAACUGCUUUUGAAACUGUUAACCUAGAGUGUGGGAGAGGUAGAUGGAAUUUCUGGUGUAGGGGUAAAAUCCGUAGAGAUCAGAAGGAAUACCGAUUGCGAAGGCGAUCUACUGGAACAUUACUGACGCUGAGAUGCGAAAGCGUGGGGAGCAAACAGGAUUAGAUACCCUAGUAGUC
rnacentral:rRNA from 1 species